AGAAGAUGGCGUCAGGUCCCAUUACACAUGUUUGUGAGCCAUCUCUCCAGCCCACCUUUUUUCGUUAAAGGUUAUGACAGUUAAAUUUCAGUAUCCAGAGGUUUUUGGCUUUAUAUAGCUCUGCGACAGUCCAAAACCUAACUGUGUGCACUGGCUGCCACCCUGUGACUGUUACCUCUCAGAUUAACAUUCCCUGUAUGGUGCCCCUCAGUUGAGAAUGAUGAUUUCACAGACUAGAGUCUCUGACACUGUCCUUGAUGUCAACUAUAAAUCUGACUCACUUGGGGAACCUGAAUUUUUACUCUUGAUUGAGCCCAGUGUCCAGCCCUGGCCCUGAGGUACAUACCCCGCUCCUGUUUCUUAUUGUGCCCAUCUUAACUCCAGGGUGAUCUCUAGAGACUGCGCAGGGGCCCCGUCCCCUCACCUAGAUGUCGGCUAACCUUGGGAUCCAGACAAAGGUGGAAUCCUAGAAGUGACCUGGAUGGCCUAAUGAUCUCACGUCUGAGAGCCAGCCCUGAAAAGGGCUUUGCUCCUACUCACACUGGCAAGUUGGAUGCCUUUUUACUGCAUUGCUGUCAGCUAUCUGAACAUGAGUGGCUGUAGGGUGUAAGCUAUGCAUGCUGGCUGCCCUACGCCCGCCCAGACUGAACCAGGACCUCACUUGAACAUGAGUAUUAGACAAUGUAAAAACUUACCUUGCCCAGACUUGAUAUAACAGCUUGGAAAUGCAUAGUUUCGUGAAAGAGCCUAAUAAAAUACUUUUUAAAGUACUU
ensembl:processed_transcript uncharacterized LOC115062509